rnacentral:rRNA from 1 species
CGGACGGGUGAGUAACGCGUGGGUAACCUGCCUCAUACAGGGGGAUAACGGUUAGAAAUGACUGCUAAUACCGCAUAAGCGCACAGUACCGCAUGGUACGGUGUGAAAAACUCCGGUGGUAUGAGAUGGGCCCGCGUCUGAUUAGCUGGUUGGUGAGGUAACGGCCCACCAAGGCGACGAUCAGUAGCCGACCUGAGAGGGUGACCGGCCACAUUGGGACUGAGACACGGCCCAG